rnacentral:rRNA from 1 species
CUCAGUAACACGUGGAUAACCUACCCUUAGGACCGGAAUAACCCCGGGAAACUGGGGAUAAUACCGGAUAAGCCAUAGACGCUGGAAUGCCCUAUGGUUCAAAGCUCCGGCGCCUAAGGAUGGAUCUGCGGUCUAUCAGGUUGUAGUGGGUGUAACGUACCUACUAGCCGACGACGGAUACGGGUUGUGAGAGCAAGAGCCCGGAGAUGGAUUCUGAGACACGAAUCCAGGCCCUACGGGGUGCAGCAGGCGCGAACACUUUACAAUGCGGGAAACCGCGAUAAGGGAACCCCGAGUGCCAGCAUCAAAUGUUGGCUGUCCAGAUGAUUAAAAAUCAUUUGUUAGCAAGGGCCGGGCAAGACCGGUGCCAGCCGCCGCGGUAACACCGGCGGCCCGAGUGGUAGCCGUUUUUAUUGGGUCUAAAGGGUCCGUAGCCGGCCUGAUCAGUCCUUUGGGAAAUCUGGCAGCUUAACUGUCAGGCUUCUAAGGGAUACUGUCAGGCUUGGGACCGGAAGAGGUAAGGGGUACUCCAGGGGUAGGAGUGAAAUCUUGUAAUCCCUGGGGGACCAUCUGUGGCGAAGGCGCCUUACCAGAACGGGUCCGACGGUGAGGGACGAAAGCUAGGGGAGCAAACCGGAUUAGAUACCCGGGUAGUCCUAGCUGUAAACGAUGCUCGCUAGGUGUCAGACACGGUGCGACCGUGUUUGGUGCCGCAGGGAAGCCGUUAAGCAGCCACCUGGGAAGUACGGUCGCAAGGCUGAAACUAAAG